ACCGCAUGCAUACAAGCAGUGGGAGCACCUUCGUGGUGUGACUGCGUACCUUUUGUAUAAUGUUUCAGCUACUUAUAUUCAGUAGCAAGUUUAACCGUAUAGGGGAGCCGUAGAGAAAUCGAGUCUUAAUAGGGCGUUUAGUUGCUGGGUAUAGACCCGAAACCAGGCGAUCUAUCCAUGAGCAGGUUGAAGGUUGGGUAACACUAACUGGAGGACCGAACCCACUGUCGUUGAAAAGCCAGGGGAUGACUUGUGGAUAGGGGUGAAAGGCUAAUCAAGCCUGGUGAUAGCUGGUUCUCCCCGAAAGCUAUUUAGGUAGCGCCUCGGACGAAUACCAUAGGGGGUAGAGCACUGUUUCGGCUAGGGGGUCAUCCCGACUUACCAAACCGAUGCAAACUCCGAAUACCUAUGAGUACUAUCCGGGAGACAGACUGCGGGUGCUAACGUCCGUAGUCAAGAGGAAAACAAUCCAGACCGCCAGCUAAGGCCCCAAAAUCAUAGUUAAGUGGGAAACGAUGUGGGAAGGCAUAGACAGCUAGGAGGUUGGCUUAGAAGCAGCCACCCUUUAAAGAAAGCGUAAUAGCUCACUAGUCGAGUCGGCCUGCGCGGAAGAUGUAACGGGGCUAAAACUAUGUGCCGAAGCUGCGGAUUUGACAUUAGUCAAGUGGUAGGGGAGCGUUCUGUAAGCCGAUGAAGGUGUAUUGAGAAGUAUGCUGGAGGUAUCAGAAGUGCGAAUGCUGACGUGAGUAACGACAAAACGGGUGAAAAACCCGUUCGCCGAAAGACCAAGGGUUCCAGUCCAACGUUAAUCGGGGCUGGGUGAGUCGACCCCUAAGGCGAGGCCGAAAGGCGUAGUCGAUGGGAAAAUGGUUAAUAUUCCAUUACUUCUGUGUAAUGCGAUGAGAGGACGGAGAAGGCUAAAUCAGCCUGGCGUUGGUUGUCCAGGUGAAAGGAUGUAGGCAUGUAUCUUAGGCAAAUCCGGGGUACUCUAUGCUGAGAUCUGAUAGCAAGCUGUACUUGUACAGCGAAGUGGUUGAUGCCAUGCUUCCAGGAAAAGUCUCUAAGCUUCAGUUACACAGGAAUCGUACCCGAAACCGACACAGGUGGUCAGGUCGAGUAGACCAAGGCGCUUGAGAGAACUCUGCUGAAGGAACUAGGCAAAAUGGUACCGUAACUUCGGGAGAAGGUACGCUGUUGUUGGUGAUGGAACUCGCUUCCUGAGCUGACGACAGCCGCAGAAACCAGGCCGCUGCAACUGUUUAUUAAAAACAUAGCACUCUGCAAACACGAAAGUGGACGUAUAGGGUGUGAUGCCUGCCCGGUGCUGGAAGGUUAAUUGAUGGGGUUAGCGUAAGCGAAGCUCUUGAUCGAAGCCCCAGUAAACGGCGGCCGUAACUAUAACGGUCCUAAGGUAGCGAAAUUCCUUGUCGGGUAAGUUCCGAC
rnacentral:rRNA from 1 species